rnacentral:lncRNA from 1 species
UUGUUGAGGAAAGUNNNNNNNNNNNNNNNNNNNNAUNUAUUUUUUUUUUUUUUUUUGAGACGGAAUCUCGCUCUGUCCCCCAGGCUGGAGUGCAAUCUCGGCUCACUGCAAGCUCCGCCUCCCAGGUUCACGCCAUUCUCCUGCCUCAGCCUCCCGAGUAGCUGGGAUUACAGGUGCCUGCCACCACGCCUGGCUAAUUUUUUGUAUUUUUAGUAGAGACGGUGUUUCAUCGUGUUAGCCAGGAUGACCUCGAUUUCCCGACCUCGUGAUCCGCCCGCCUCGGCCUCCCAAAGUGUUGGGAUUACAGGCGUGAGCCACCGCGCCCGGCCAUAAAUGAUUCUUAUACAUUCAGAAAGAUGACUCUUUCUCAGUGGACGAAACAUUCUGUGUGAUGCACACCAGCACAACAACAGAAAGUACUGAACAACUUUGAGGAUACAGGGAUGAGCACCAGAAAGAUGGGGCAGGUUCAGCUUCAUAAUCUUGGCAAGGAGUCAUCAGCAGCAAGAUUUAGGUGUUGGCUAAAAGAGAAAAACAGGAAUUCCAGUUAUCCUGUCUGGAUUAGCGCUCCUGAUGAGCUCAAGCUGAGCCAACUGGGGACUGAAAAAAUUCAGAGAGAGAGAACCAUGAAAGUCAAGGGCAUUGUAAGGAUGAAUUUAGAACCUCCAAUGACAGCAGGCCCUCAUUUGGAUGCUUGGAUUCUAAAAUGUUUGCUAAAAGGUAAGUCAGAGCAUUUGGUCAUAUGUCAUCUAAACUACACUUUCACCUGUACCUAAGAUGUAU